rnacentral:rRNA from 1 species
UACAGAGGUCUCAAGCGUUGUUCGGAUUCAUUGGGCGUAAAGGGUGCGUAGGUGGCGCCGUAAGUCAGGUGUGAAAUUUCGGAGCUUAACUCCGAAACUGCAUUUGAUACUGCGGUGCUUGAGGACUGCAGAGGAGACUGGAAUUCCCGGUGUAGCGGUGAAAUGUGUAGAGAUCGGGAGGAACACCGGUGGCGAAGGCGGGUCUCUGGGCAAUUCCUGACGCUGAGGCGCGAAAGCGUGGGGAGCAAACGGG